rnacentral:rRNA from 1 species
UACAGAGGGGGCAAGCGUUAUUCGGAAUUAUUGGGCGUAAAGAGCUCGUAGGCGGUUUGUCGCGUCUGCUGUGAAAACUCAGGGCUUAACUCUGAGCUUGCAGUGGGUACGGGCAGACUAGAGUGCGGUAGGGGAGACUGGAAUUCCUGGUGUAGCGGUGAAAUGCGUAGAUAUCGAGAGGAACACCUGCGGCGAAGGCGGGUUGCUGGGCCGACACUGACGCUGAGGAGCGAAAGCGUGGGGAGCGAACAGG